CUGCUCCGCUCUUUCAGAGAACCUCUAGGAGACAUGCUCAAUAUGUGUACUGUUAGAAAACAUCCCAAGGAAUACUUUCUAAGGGUACUACUGCAAAAGUUGAGCAUAACAGCUUCAGGGCACAUGGCUUACAAAGAUUUGAUUUCCUGUUGCAGAUGAGGCUGGGGUGCAAAGUCAGUCAGGACGAGGACGCACAGAAACACUUGUUAACCUCACUGCUGCUCUGCCUCCAUGCUGGAGAGGGCUAGUAUCUCCUGAAGACAACAGUGGCAUGUGAAAUCCUUGCAUGACAAUUGUGACCUGCUGAGACCCUUUCAAGAUGAGCUCUUCUUUUUUACAUCUAUGAUGUGAUUACUUUUGAUAUGAAGAGAGUGAUUAGCAACAAGAAUACCACAGGGCCCCAUGGAGGAUGUUGGAGAGAGGAAACCCUUCCACACCCAACCAGCCGUGGGGGAUGCCUGCACACCACAGUGGAGAAAGUGGCUUGGAUGGCUCCUAUACAGCCCCUACUUAGAAGAACCCUGAGAAGAGAGGUCGUCUCUUUCUGCAAGGUGAUAGCUGUCUUCAAUUUGCAGAGCUGGCACGCCCAUAGCACUCAUGACUGGGAGGUGCAUGCUGCCCAGUGACCCACACUUGUCCUGUUGCAUGGUCUUAGCAGACUCCAAAUACAGGUUCCCUGAGGAGCCUAGAUACCAAGCUCAGC